ACAGUGGACGCGAGCAUCUGUGGCCAAGUUUUUAAGGGCGCACGGUGGAUGCCUUGGCACCAGGAACCGAUGAAGGACGUGGGAGGCCACGAUAGUCCCCGGGGAGCCGUCAACCAGGCUUUGAUCCGGGGGUUUCCGAAUGGGGAAACCCGGCAGUCGUCAUGGGCUGUCACCCGCUGCUGAACACAUAGGCAGUGUGGAGGGAACGAGGGGAAGUGAAACAUCUCAGUACCCUCAGGAAGAGAAAACAACCGUGAUUCCGGGAGUAGUGGCGAGCGAAACCGGAUGAGGCCAAACCGUAUGCGUGUGAGACCCGGCAGGGGUUGCGCAUACGGGGUUGUGGGAUCUCUCUUCUACGGUCUGCCGGCCGUAGGACGAGUCAGAAACCGUUGAUGUAGGCGAAGGACAUGCGAAAGGUCCGGCGUAGAGGGUAAGACCCCCGUAGUCGAAACAUCAGCGGCUCGUUUGAGAGACACCCAAGUAGCACGGGGCCCGAGAAAUCCCGUGUGAAUCUGGCGGGACCACCCGCUAAGCCUAAAUAUUCCCUGGUGACCGAUAGCGGAUAGUACCGUGAGGGAAUGGUGAAAAGUACCGCGGGAGCGGAGUGAAAUAGUACCUGAAACCGUGUGCCUACAAGCCGUGGGAGCGUCGGAUGUAUCUUCGGAUGCAUCUCGUGACUGCGUGCCUUUUGAAGAAUGAGCCUGCGAGUUUGCGGUGUGUUGCGAGGUUAACCCGUGUGGGGAAGCCGUAGCGAAAGCGAGUCCGAACAGGGCGAUUCAGUAGCACGCUCAAGACCCGAAGCGGAGUGAUCUAGCCAUGGGCAGGUUGAAGCGGAGGUAAGACUUCGUGGAGGACCGAACCCACCAGGGUUGAAAACCUGGGGGAUGACCUGUGGUUAGGGGUGAAAGGCCAAUCAAACUCCGUGAUAGCUGGUUCUCCCCGAAAUGCAUUUAGGUGCAGCGUCGUGUGUUUCUUGCCGGAGGUAGAGCACUGGAUAGGCGAUGGGCCCUACCGGGUUACUGACCUUAGCCAAACUCCGAAUGCCGGUAAGUGAGAGCACGGCAGUGAGACUGUGGGGGAUAAGCUCCAUGGUCGAGAGGGAAACAGCCCAGAGCAUCGACUAAGGCCCCUAAGCGUACGCUAAGUGGGAAAGGAUGUGGAGUCGCACAGACAACCAGGAGGUUGGCUUAGAAGCAGCCACCCUUGAAAGAGUGCGUAAUAGCUCACUGGUCUAGUGAUUCCGCGCCGACAAUGUAGCGGGGCUCAAGCGUACCGCCGAAGUCGUGUCAUUGCAGCAAUAAGCCCCAACGGGUGCUGUGAUGGGUAGGGGAGCGUCGUGUGCCGGGUGAAGCCGCGCCGGAAGGCAGUGGUGGACGGUUCACGAGUGAGAAUGCAGGCAUGAGUAGCGAUACAAACGUGAGAAACGUUUGCGCCGAUUGACUAAGGGUUCCUGGGUCAAGCUGAUCUGCCCAGGGUAAGUCGGGACCUAAGGCGAGGCCGACAGGCGUAGUCGAUGGAUAACCGGUUGAUAUUCCGGUACCCGCUGUGAAGCGUCAAACAUCGAACCAGACGAUGCUAAGUCCGUGAAGCCGUUCCGGACCCUUCGGGGAAAGGAAAGUGGUGGAGCCGACGAUCCAGAUCUGCAGUAGGUGAGUGAUGGGGUGACGCAGGAAGGUAGUCCAGCCCGGGCGAUGGUAGUCCCGGGGUAAGGGUGUAGGACGCAAGGUAGGCAAAUCCGCCUUGCACAUAGUCUGAGACCUGAUGCCGAGCCGAUUGUGGUGAAGUGGAUGAUCCUAUGCUGUCGAGAAAAGCCUCUAGCGAGUUUCAUGGCGGCCCGUACCCUAAACCGACUCAGGUGGUCAGGUAGAGAAUACCGAGGCGUUCGGGUGAACUAUGGUUAAGGAACUCGGCAAAAUGCCCCCGUAACUUCGGGAGAAGGGGGGCCAUGUCCGGUGAUCCGAUUUACUCGGUGAGCUGGGUGUGGCCGCAGAGACCAGCGAGAAGCGACUGUUUACUAAAAACACAGGUCCGUGCGAAGCCGUAAGGCGAUGUAUACGGACUGACGCCUGCCCGGUGCUGGAACGUUAAGGGGACCGGUUAGCUCCAUUUCGGUGGGGCGAAGCUGAGAACUUAAGCGCCAGUAAACGGCGGUGGUAACUAUAACCAUCCUAAGGUAGCGAAAUUCCUUGUCGGGUAAGUUCCGACCUGCACGAAUGGCGUAACGACUUCUCGACUGUCUCAACCAUAGGCCCGGUGAAAUUGCACUACGAGUAAAGAUGCUCGUUUCGCGCAGCAGGACGGAAAGACCCCGGGACCUUUACUACAGUUUGAUAUUGGUGUUCGGUUCGGCUUGUGUAGGAUAGCUGGGAGACUUUGAAAGCGGCACGCCAGUGUCGUGGGAGUCGUCGUUGAAAUACCAGUCUGGUCGUGCUGGAUGUCUAACCUCGGUCCGUGAUCCGGAUCAGGGACAGUGUCUGAUGGGUAGUUUAACUGGGGCGGUUGCCUCCUAAAGAGUAACGGAGGCGCCCAAAGGUUCCCUCAGCCUGGUUGGCAAUCAGGUGUUGAGUGUAAGUGCACAAGGGAGCUUGACUGUGAGACCGACGGGUCGAGCAGGGACGAAAGUCGGGACUAGUGAUCCGGCGGUGGCUUGUGGAAGCGCCGUCGCUCAACGGAUAAAAGGUACCCCGGGGAUAACAGGCUGAUCUUCCCCAAGAGUCCAUAUCGACGGGAUGGUUUGGCACCUCGAUGUCGGCUCGUCGCAUCCUGGGGCUGGAGUCGGUCCCAAGGGUUGGGCUGUUCGCCCAUUAAAGCGGUACGCGAGCUGGGUUUAGAACGUCGUGAGACAGUUCGGUCCCUAUCCGCUGUGCGCGUAGGAAUAUUGAGAAGGGCUGUCCCUAGUACGAGAGGACCGGGACGGACGAACCUCUGGUGUGCCAGUUGUCCUGCCAAGGGCAUGGCUGGUUGGCUACGUUCGGGAGGGAUAACCGCUGAAAGCAUCUAAGCGGGAAGCCUGCUUCGAGAUGAGUAUUCCCACCUCCUUGAGAGGGUAAGGCUCCCAGUAGACGACUGGGUUGAUAGGCCAGAUAUGGAAGCCCGGUAACGGGUGGAGUUGACUGGUACUAAUAGGCCGAGGGCUUGUCCUCAGUUG
rnacentral:rRNA from 1 species